rnacentral:rRNA from 1 species
AAUACACCCUGUGAACCGUCAUCCUUCGGGAUGCUCAUAUACAAACUCUAGUGGUGUCAUUGAAUGUAUACGUUAUACCAUAACAAUCAUAACUUUUAGCAACGGAUCUCUUGGCUCUCGCAUCGAUGAAGAACGCAGCGAAAUGCGAUACGUAAUGUGAAUUGCAGAAUAGUGAAUCAUCGAAUCUUUGAACGCACCUUGCACCCCUUGGGGUAUGCCAGUUUGAGAGCCACCUAACCGUCGCGCUUGUAGCUUUUGCUACUUGAGCGGAUUUGAGUGUAUUGCCGGCCUCGGCGGCUCGCUCUGAAUGCAUGAGCGUCUAGAGAGCGCAUGACAACGUGAUAAGUAUUUCGGUGUGGUGUUCUUUGGGGACGCUUCCAAUCGCCCUUGGACAAUGUAACCAAUGCUAGGCAUCAAAGUGGUAGGACUACCCGCUGAACUUAAGCAUAU